ensembl:ncRNA W08D2.12 ncRNA
CUUUUUAUACUUGCUUUCGGACACACUACUGACCUGAUUACUGUCAAGUUGUAACCGGUUUCCCUUUUUAUCAAUGAGAUUAGAAGGGGAAAAAAGUGAAAGAAGGUGGUGGCAGGCUCGUAAAAUCGGGAACGAGUAGAGUAAUGAGG